GUCUACAGCCAUGCUACCCUGAACAAGCCUGAUCCCAUGUGAUCUCGGAAGCUAAGCAGGGUUGGGCCUGGUUAGUACUUGCAUGGGAGACCACCUAGGAAGACCAGGUGCUGUAGGCG
rnacentral:rRNA from 1 species